AUUGAACGCUGGCGGAAUGCUUUACACAUGCAAGUCGAACGGCAGCACGGACUUCGGUCUGGUGGCGAGUGGCGAACGGGUGAGUAAUACAUCGGAACGUGCCCAAUCGUGGGGGAUAACGUAGCGAAAGCUACGCUAAUACCGCAUACGAUCUAAGGAUGAAAGCGGGGGAUCGCAAGACCUCGCGCGAUUGGAGCGGCCGAUGGCAGAUUAGGUAGUUGGUAGGGUAAAGGCCUACCAAGCCGACGAUCUGUAGCUGGUCUGAGAGGAUGAUCAGCCACACUGGGACUGAGACACGGCCCAGACUCCUACGGGAGGCAGCAGUGGAGAAUUUUGGACAAUGGACGCAAGUCUGAGCCAGCCAUUCCGCGUGCAGGAUGAAGGCCCUCGGGUUGUAAACUGCUUUUGUACAGAACGAAAAGGCUCUGGUUAAUACCUAGGGCUCAUGACGGUACUGUAAGAAUAAGCACCGGCUAACUACGUGCCAGCCGCCGCGGUAA
rnacentral:rRNA from 1 species